CAGCCGCCGCGGUAAUACGAAGGGUGCAAGCGUUACUCGGAAUUACUGGGCGUAAAGCGUGCGUAGGUGGUGGUUUAAGUCCGUUGUGAAAGCCCUGGGCUCAACCUGGGAAUUGCAGUGGUUACUGGGUCACUAGAGUGUGGUAGAGGAUAGUGGAAUUUCCGGUGUAGCAGUGAAAUGCGUAGAGAUCGGAAGGAACAUCUGUGGCGAAGGCGACUAUCUGGGCCAACACUGACACUGAGGCACGAAAGCGUGGGGAGCAAACAGGAUUAGAUACCCCCGUAGUCCCUGUCUCUUAUAA
rnacentral:rRNA from 1 species